rfam:Triticum aestivum genome assembly, contig: Triticum_aestivum_CS42_TGACv1_scaffold_570635_7AS
AAAAUACUCCCUCCAUCCCAAAAUUCUUGUCUUAGAUUUGUCUAGAUACGGAUGUAUCUAAUACUAAAACGUAACCAGAUACAUCCGUAUUUAGACAAAUGUAAGACAAGAAUUUGGGGACGGAGGGAGUAAUAC